GGUCGUGCUGAGCACGCUGAAGGGAACAAGGACCUGGGGAUUUAGAAAAGCCAGUCUGAGUAUGCUCUUCCAUGGCAAGCAUCCACCGAGGGUGGAUGAAGAACACUCUGCUAAUGUGGUGAUGAGCCUCCUGCGCUGUGCCCCAUCCUGUGACAGGGCUGCUGUACUGAUGUGGAGAAGCAUCGGCACGUCAAGACCCGCAGUGCAGAAGGUGCUUCCAGCAUUGUUCUCUGUGAUAGAGGACAGGCCACUGUACAGCAUGUUCUUCUACAGUGGGGAUAACGAGGCCGUCUUUGCCCUGGCUGCAACUGUGGUGCUGUGGAAGAUUGCCCACAUGCCCGAGUGGCACGACGCAGUAGUCCUUCAUUCGGCCCAGCUGUUUGUGGCUCUGCUCUUGCAAGUUUUUGCC